rnacentral:lncRNA from 1 species
AUUUAUUUUAUAUUAAUUAAACAUUUGUUUACUUGUUUAUGUAUGUAUGUAUGUAUGUACAGUAUGUAUGAAAUGUAACCAAAACUCUAUUUGUUAUUUCUUCUUAUGGAUUUGCUAUAAUUCAAAAAUGUGCAAAUGAGUAGGUAUUCAAAAGUUUUACUAGUGUAGCUCUUUGGCUGCUGGCUAAUGUAAUUGAUUUCAUGGUUUAAAAAAAAAUAAAUAAAAUAAAAAAGAAAUUUAAUGAAAAAUUUGAAUGUGGAAAAAAGUGUGGUUGAAUGUACAUUUUGUUUUUUACAAGCUAUUUUAUAUUUUAACUUUGGCUCAUCCAAUCAGAUUUCAGAGCUGUUUGUUUUAAAAAUGAAGUUUGAAAAAUCUUCUCUAGGUCAACACGUAUCUACUGUUGUUUUGCGGCAGCUUUAACCAUCACUGAUUCUCUUUCUGCAAGGCCUUUACAAACGCCAAAAAAGCUUUUUAGCUCAGUAAAGCGACACCUGCGCGAACCUGCUGAACUUGGCUUGCUGAUGUCAUGUACUAUUGCAUCAAGCGGAAUCUGACUCAAAACAAGAGCGGAGGCGUAUAGAGGAUUCGUGAGGCGAUCCGAGGAAGCUCAGUCACCUGAGAGAAACACUGAAUGACUUCAGUGGCUGGUGGGAAGCCCCUACAAAACCACCCAUUACUUCCCCAGCUUGAGCAGUGCAUCCUGGGAAAGAGUGCUCGCAUUCACACACACAGUGAGUCUUAGGAAGAUCAAAGGUGCCACUGGACACUGAUGCAGAUCUUUGAGGAUUAUCGCCAGAUGAAACCACACUGGAAUUUCAGCUCUCAAGUCAAAGUCACCAUAGCCACCAGAUCCAGUCUGUAUCCAAGUCAGAGGGUCACUGCAGUCACCCGGAUCCAGUACAUAUCCAGACCAGAUGGUGGAUCAGCACCUAGAAAGGACCUCUACAGCCCUGAAAGACAGCGGAGACCAGGACAACUAGAUGAGCCCCAGAUUCCCUGUAAAGACCUUGUCUCAGACGACCAUCGGUACAAGACCACAGGAAACAGUUGAGUCCUCUGCACAAUCUGACUUUGCUGCAGGCUGGAAUUGAACUGCUGGUUUCAUCUGGUCAGAGGAGAACUGGCCCCCUGACUGAGCCUG